rnacentral:rRNA from 1 species
GACGAACGCUGGCGGCGUGCCUAAUACAUGCAAGUCGAACGCAGUGGGGACGGGUGAGUAACACGUGGGUAACCUCCCAUCAGAGGGGAUACCACUUGGACACAGGUGCUAAACCGAUACUGAUGGAUGGACCCGGGGUGCAUUAGCUAGUUGUGGGGGUAACGGCGCACCAAGGCCACGAUGCCUAGCCGAUCUGAGAGUGUGAUCGGCCACACUGGGACUGAGACACGGUCCAGACUCCUACGGGAGGCAGCAGUAGGGAAUCUUCGGCAAUGGACGAAAGCCUGACCGAGCAACGCCGCGUGAGUGAAGAAGGUUUUCGGAUCGUAAAACUCUGUUGGUAGAGAAGCGGUAUCUAACCAGAAAGCCACGGCUAACUACGUGCCAGCAGCCGCGGUAAUUC